CAUGCAAGUCGAACGGAAAGUGCCCAGCUUGCUGGGUGACUCGAGUGGCGAACGGGUGAGUAACACGUGGGUGAUCUGCCCUGCACUUUGGGAUAAGCCUGGGAAACUGGGUCUAAUACCGAAUACACCCUGCUGGUCGCAUGGCCUGGUGGGGGAAAGCUUUUGCGGUGUGGGAUGGGCCCGCGGCCUAUCAGCUUGUUGGUGGGGUGAUGGCCUACCAAGGCGACGACGGGUAGCCGGCCUGAGAGGGUGUCCGGCCACACUGGGACUGAGAUACGGCCCAGACUCCUACGGGAGGCAGCAGUGGGGAAUAUUGCACAAUGGGCGCAAGCCUGAUGCAGCGACGCCGCGUGAGGGAUGACGGCCUUCGGGUUGUAAACCUCUUUCAAUAGGGACGAAGCGCAAGUGACGGUACCUAUAGAAGAAGCACCGGCCAACUACGUGCCAGCAGCCGCGGUAAUACGUAGGGUGCGAGCGUUGUCCGGAAUUACUGGGCGUAAAGAGCUCGUAGGUGGUUUGUCGCGUUGUUCGUGAAAACUCACA
rnacentral:rRNA from 1 species